AUUGAACGCUGGCGGCAGGCCUAACACAUGCAAGUCGAGCGGAUGAAGGGAGCUUGCUCCUGGAUUCAGCGGCGGACGGGUGAGUAAUGCCUAGGAAUCUGCCUGGUAGUGGGGCAUAACGUCCGGAAACGGGCGCUAAUACCGCAUACGUCCUGAGGGAGAAAGUGGGGGAUCUUCGGACCUCACGCUAUCAGAUGAGCCUAGGUCGGAUUAGCUAGUUGGUGGGGUAAAGGCCUACCAAGGCGACGAUCCGUAGCUGGUCUGAGAGGAUGAUCAGUCACACUGGAACUGAGACACGGUCCAGACUCCUACGGGAGGCAGCAGUGGGGAAUAUUGGACAAUGGGCGAAAGCCUGAUCCAGCCAUGCCGCGUGUGUGAAGAAGGUCUUCGGAUUGUAAAGCACUUUAAGUUGGGAGGAAGGGCAGUAAGUUAAUACCUUGCUGUUUUGACGUUACCAACAGAAUAAGCACCGGCUAACUUCGUG
rnacentral:rRNA from 1 species